rnacentral:lncRNA from 1 species
AGCUUCCAUAUUAAAUACUAUAGAAUUAACUUACUUUUACCUACUUUUAUUUACUUCCACCUAUUUAUAUAUGUAAUUACUAUCUUACAUGAGUAUGUCCGUGAUAAAUCCUAGACAAAUCCUAAAUCCUAAAUCAAAUCCUAGACAAAUCCUUAAUCCUAAAUCAAAUCGUAGAUAAAAGUAAAUCCUAAAUCAACUCCUAAAUCAAAUUUAAAAUCUAAAUUCUAAACUCUAAACCAAACCUUAAACAAAUCCUAAACCCUAAAUCAAAUCUUAAAAAAAUUCUAAACUCUAAAUAAAAUCCUAAAAAAAUCUUAAAUCCUAAACCUAAUCCUAAACCAAAUCCUAAUCCUAAAUCGAAUCUUAACCAAAUCAUAAUCAAUUCAAUUUUAAAACUAAGUUGGCAACAAGUAC